rnacentral:rRNA from 1 species
GAUGAACGCUAGCGGCAGGCCUAAUACAUGCAAGUCGAACGGUCCGCUUCGGCGGAUAGUGGCGCACGGGUGCGUAACACGUACGCAACCUACCUUACAUUGGGGGAUAGCCUUUCGAAAGGGAGAUUAAUACCGCAUAAGACAGUAGCUGGGCAUCCAGUAGCUGUUAAAGAUUUAUCGAUGUAAGCUGGGCAUGCGUCCAAUUAGUUAGUUGGUGAGGUAAUGGCUCACCAAGACGAUGAUUGGUAGGGGAACUGAGAGGUCAAUCCCCCACACUGGCACUGAGAUACGGGCCAGACUCCUACGGGGGGCAGCAGUAGGGAAUAUUGGGCAAUGGACGCAAGUCUGACCCAGCCAUGCCGCGUGCAGGAAGAAGGCGUUCUGCGUUGUAAACUGCUUUUAUAUAGGAAGAAACGACCCUUGCGAGGGGCAUUGACGGUAUUAUAUGAAUAAGCACCGGCUAACUCCGUGCCAGCCGCCGCAGUAACAC